rnacentral:rRNA from 1 species
UACAAUGGAGAGUUUGAUCCUGGCUCAGGAUGAACGCUAGCGGGAGGCCUAACACAUGCAAGCCGAGCGGUAUGAUUCUUUCGGGAAUCAGAGAGCGGCGUACGGGUGCGGAACACGUGUGCAACCUGCCUUUAUCUGGGGGAUAGCCUUUCGAAAGGAAGAUUAAUACCCCAUAAUAUAUUGAGUGGCAUCACUUAAUAUUGAAAACUCCGGUGGAUAGAGAUGGGCACGCGCAAGAUUAGAUAGUUGGUGGGGUAACGGCCUACCAAGUCGAUGAUCUUUAGGGGGCCUGAGAGGGUGAUCCCCCACACUGGUACUGAGACACGGACCAGACUCCUACGGGAGGCAGCAGUGAGGAAUAUUGGACAAUGGGUGCAAGCCUGAUCCAGCCAUCCCGCGUGAAGGACGACGGCCCUAUGGGUUGUAAACUUCUUUUGUACAGGGAUAAACCUAGAUACGUGUAUCUAGCUGAAGGUACUGUACGAAUAAGCACCGGCUAACUCCGUGCCAGCAGCCGCGGUAAUACGGAGGGUGCAAGCGUUAUCCGGAUUUAUUGGGUUUAAAGGGUCCGUAGGCGGAUCAGUAAGUCAGUGGUGAAAUCUCAUAGCUUAACUAUGAAACUGCCAUUGAUACUGCUGGUCUUGAGUAAGGUAGAAGUAGCUGGAAUAAGUAGUGUAGCGGUGAAAUGCAUAGAUAUUACUUAGAACACCAAUUGCGAAGGCAGGUUACUAUGUCUUAACUGACGCUGAUGGACGAAAGCGUGGGGAGCGAACAGGAUUAGAUACCCUGGUAGUCCACGCUGUAAACGAUGCUAACUCGUUUUUGGGUUUUCGGAUUCAGAGACUAAGCGAAAGUGAUAAGUUAGCCACCUGGGGAGUACGAACGCAAGUUUGAAACUCAAAGGAAUUGACGGGGGCCCGCACAAGCGGUGGAUUAUGUGGUUUAAUUCGAUGAUACGCGAGGAACCUUACCAAGGCUUAAAUGGGAAUUGAUCGGUUUAGAAAUAGACCUUCCUUCGGGCAAUUUUCAAGGUGCUGCAUGGUUGUCGUCAGCUCGUGCCGUGAGGUGUUAGGUUAAGUCCUGCAACGAGCGCAACCCCUGUCACUAGUUGCCAUCAUUAAGUUGGGGACUCUAGUGAGACUGCCUACGCAAGUAGAGAGGAAGGUGGGGAUGACGUCAAAUCAUCACGGCCCUUACGCCUUGGGCCACACACGUAAUACAAUGGCCGGUACAGAGGGCAGCUACACAGCGAUGUGAUGCAAAUCUCGAAAGCCGGUCUCAGUUCGGAUUGGAGUCUGCAACUCGACUCUAUGAAGCUGGAAUCGCUAGUAAUCGCGCAUCAGCCAUGGCGCGGUGAAUACGUUCCCGGGCCUUGUACACACCGCCCGUCAAGCCAUGGAAGUCUGGGGUACCUGAAGUCGGUGACCGUAAAAGGAGCUGCCUAGGGUAAAACAGGUAACUAGGGCUAAGUCGUAACAAGGUAGCCGUACCGGAAGGUGCGGCUGGAACAUCUCAUUUUAGA